ACCGGCGGCUCGAGUGGUAAACGUUAUUAUUGGGUCUAAAGGGUCUGUAGCCGGCCGGAUAAGUCUCUUGAGAAAUCCAGCAGCUCAACUGUUGGGCUUUCAGGAGAUACUGUCUGGCUCGAGGCCGGGAGAGGUUAGAGGUACUUCAAGGGUAGGGGUGAAAUCCUAUAAUCCUUGGAGGACCACCUGUGGCGAAGGCGCCUAACUGGAACGAACCUGACGGUGAGUAACGAAAGCUAGGGGCGCGAACCG
rnacentral:rRNA from 1 species